GUAGGUGGCAAGCGUUGUCCGGAAUUAUUGGGGCGUAAAGCGCGCGCAGGCGGGGUUCGUUUAAGUCUGAUGUGAAAGCCCACGGGCUCAACCGUGGAGGGUCAUUGGAAACUGGAGAACUUGAGUACAGAAGAGGAAAGCGGAAUUCCACGUGUAGCGGUGAAAUGCGUAGAGAUGUGGAGGAACACCAGUGGCGAAGGCGGCUUUCUGGUCUGUAACUGACGCUGAGGCGCGAAAGCGUGGGGAGCAAACAGGAUUAGAUACCCUGGUAGUCCACGCCGUAAACGAUGAGUGCUAAGUGUUAGGGGGUUUCCGCCCCUUAGUGCUGCAGCUAACGCAUUAAGCACUCCGCCUGGGGAGUACGGCCGCAAAGGCUG
rnacentral:rRNA from 1 species